ACACGUUGUGAACUCGAAGAGUAGGGCGGGACACGUGGUAUCCUGUCUGAAUAUGGGGGGACCAUCCUCCAAGGCUAAAUACUCCUGACUGACCGAUAGUGAACCAGUACCGUGAGGGAAAGGCGAAAAGAACCCCGGCGAGGGGAGUGAAAAAGAACCUGAAACCGUGUACGUACAAGCAGUGGGAGCCUACUUGUUAGGUGACUGCGUACCUUUUGUAUAAUGGGUCAGCGACUUAUAUUCUGUAGCAAGGUUAACCGUAUAGGGGAGCCGCAGGGAAACCGAGUCUUAACUGGGCGUUAAGUUGCAGGGUAUAGACCCGAAACCCGGUGAUCUAGCCAUGGGCAGGUUGAAGGUUGGGUAACACUAACUGGAGGACCGAACCGACUAAUGUUGAAAAAUUAGCGGAUGACUUGUGGCUGGGGGUGAAAGGCCAAUCAAACCGGGAGAUAGCUGGUUCUCCCCGAAAGCUAUUUAGGUAGCGCCUCGUGAACUCAUCUUCGGGGGUAGAGCACUGUUUCGGCUAGGGGGUCAUCCCGACUUACCAACCCGAUGCAAACUACGAAUACCGAAGAAUGUUAUCACGGGAGACACACGGCGGGUGCUAACGUCCGUCGUGAAGAGGGAAACAACCCAGACCGCCAGCUAAGGUCCCAAAGUCAUGGUUAAGUGGGAAACGAUGUGGGAAGGCACAGACAGCCAGGAUGUUGGCUUAGAAGCAGCCAUCAUUUAAAGAAAGCGUAAUAGCUCACUGGUCGAGUCGGCCUGCGCGGAAGAUGUAACGGGGCUAAACCAUGCACCGAAGCUGCGGCAGCGACACUAUGUGUUGUUGGGUAGGGGAGCGUUCUGUAAGCCGUUGAAGGUGGCCUGUGAGGGUUGCUGGAGGUAUCAGAAGUGCGAAUGCUGACAUAAGUAACGAUAAAGCGGGUGAAAAGCCCGCUCGCCGGAAGACCAAGGGUUCCUGUCCAACGUUAAUCGGGGCAGGGUGAGUCGACCCCUAAGGCGAGGCCGAAAGGCGUAGUCGAUGGGAAACAGGUUAAUAUUCCUGUACUCGGUGUUACUGCGAAGGGGGGACGGAGAAGGCUAUGUUAGCCGGGCGACGGUUGUCCCGGUUUAAGCAUGUAGGCGGAACGAUUAGGUAAAUCCGGUCGUUUAUUCAACGCUGAGGUGUGAUGACGAGGCACUACGGUGCU
rnacentral:rRNA from 1 species